UACGUAGGGUGCAAGCGUUAAUCGGAAUUACUGGGCGUAAAGCGUGCGCAGGCGGUUUUGUAAGACUGUCGUGAAAUCCCCGGGCUUAACCUGAGAAUUGCGAUGGUGACUGCAAGGCUAGAGUUUGGCAGAGGGGGGUAGAAUUCCACGUGUAGCAGUGAAAUGCGUAGAGAUGUGGAGGAACACCGAUGGCGAAGGCAGCCCCCUGGGUCAAAACUGACGCUCAUGCACGAAAGCGUGGGGAGCAAACAGG
rnacentral:rRNA from 1 species